GGCGGGACACGUGUUAUCCUGUCUGAAUAUGGGGGGACCAUCCUCCAAGGCUAAAUACUCCUGACUGACCGAUAGUGAACCAGUACCGUGAGGGAAAGGCGAAAAGAACCCCUGUGAGGGGAGUGAAAUAGAACCUGAAACCGUGUACGUACAAGCAGUAGGAGCACCUUCGUGGUGUGACUGCGUACCUUUUGUAUAAUGGGUCAGCGACUUAUAUUCAGUGGCAAGGUUAACCAUCUAGGGGAGCCGUAGGGAAACCGAGUCUUAACUGGGCGCCAUAGUCUCUGGAUAUAGACCCGAAACCGAGUGAUCUAGCCAUGGGCAGGUUGAAGGUUGAGUAACAUCAACUGGAGGACCGAACCGACUAAUGUUGAAAAAUUAGCGGAUGACUUGUGGCUAGGGGUGAAAGGCCAAUCAAACUCGGAGAUAGCUGGUUCUCCCCGAAAGCUAUUUAGGUAGCGCCUCGGACGAAUACUACUGGGGGUAGAGCACUGUUAAGGCUAGGGGGUCAUCCCGACUUACCAACCCUUUGCAAACUCCGAAUACCAGUAAGUACUAUCCGGGAGACACACGGCGGGUGCUAACGUCCGUCGUGGAGAGGGAAACAACCCAGACCGCCAGCUAAGGUCCCAAAUUACAGCUAAGUGGGAAACGAUGUGGGAAGGCUUAGACAGCUAGGAUGUUGGCUUAGAAGCAGCCAUCAUUUAAAGAAAGCGUAAUAGCUCACUAGUCGAGUCGGCCUGCGCGGAAGAUGUAACGGGGCUAAGUUGUAAACCGAAGCUGCGGCAAUAUCUUUUAGAUAUUGGGUAGGGGAGCGUUCUGUAAGCCGUUGAAGGUGUGUUGUAAAGCAUGCUGGAGGUAUCAGAAGUGCGAAUGCUGACAUGAGUAACGACAAGGGGGGUGAAAAACCUCCCCGCCGGAAGACCAAGGGUUCCUGUCCAACGUUAAUCGGGGCAGGGUAAGUCGACCCCUAAGGCGAGGCCGAAAGGCGUAGUCGAUGGGAAACGGGUUAAUAUUCCCGUACUUCUUACAAUUGCGAUGGGGGGACGGAGAAGGCUAGGUGGGCCUGGCGACGGUUGUCCAGGUUCAAGUGCGUAGGCU
rnacentral:rRNA from 1 species